CGGACGGGUGAGUAAUGUCUGGGAAACUGCCUGAUGGAGGGGGGUAACUACUGGAAACGGUAGCUAAUACCGCAUAACGUCGCAAGACCAAAGAGGGGGACCUUAGGGCCUCUUGCCAUCGGAUGUGCCCAGAUGGGAUUAGCUAGUAGGUGGGGUAACGGCUCACCUAGGCGACGAUCCCUAGCUGGUCUGAGAGGAUGACCAGCCACACUGGAACUGAGACACGGUCCAA
rnacentral:rRNA from 1 species